rnacentral:rRNA from 1 species
AUACGGAGGGUCCAAGCGUUAUCCGGAAUCAUUGGGUUUAAAGGGUCCGCAGGCGGUCAAUUAAGUCAGAGGUGAAAGCCCAUCGCUCAACGAUGGAACUGCCUUUGAUACUGGUUGACUUGAGUUUUGCGGAAGUAGAUAGAAUAAGUAGUGUAACGGUGAAAUGCAUAGAUAUUACUUAGAAUACCGAUUGCGAAGGCAGUCUACUACGUAUAUACUGACGCUGAGGGACGAAAGCGUGGGGAGCGAACAGAAUUAGAAACCCUAGUAGUCC